rnacentral:lncRNA from 1 species
CCGGUGAGCACGCCGCCGCCUGCAACCCCUCGGCCGGCCGUUCCUCCUGCAGCUUCUCCACCGCCGCCUGCAACCCCUCCGCCGGCCGAACCUGCUCCAGCUUCUCCGCCGCCGACUGCAACCCGCAACCCCUCCGCCGGCCGAACCUCGUCCAGCUUCUCCGCCUCCGCCUGUGCUUUCCCCGCUCCCACCGGUUGCACCUACGCCGGCUCCGGUUGCUUCCUCCGUCGUAGAAAUCAGGUCCGUUUCACAAUUUACUCUUUUCCGCAUUUAAAUCUCAUAAUUCGAGAUAUAAAUGUAAGGCAAUUUUAGAUCUGUAGGGAUUUUCAUAAGACUUGAACCCACUGAAAAGCAGGACGCCAUUUCUUCCCGUUGAUUUCUCGCUCCCUGCUGCCUGCUUCGAUCUUGUUAUCCUUAUUCAGGUGUUUCCGCUGCCUAAUCUUCAAUUUGUCUUUGUAAGUUCAAGAAGAAGAACGUCAAAAGUUAAGCUGUAAAUACUGAAAAUGUCCAAAAUUUAGUGGAUAAUCCAGCAG